rnacentral:lncRNA from 1 species
AUAACUUGUAAUCACCAUAUUAUCCCUGCAUGUAAUCUCUACGUAGUGUAUAUUAAAUAACAGUUAUCCUUUCCUUUUGUGUUGUUUCAUUUUAUUGUCGGUACAUCUAUUGCGUGAAUUGUGUUUUUUUUAUAUUUAUAUAACUGCGAUUACCUAGAAUAAGUAACUCUUUUUGUGAGUAUUUUGUUAGGUACGCGUUUUAUGCAUGGCGGAUUGAAUGUCUCCCAUGCGCAAAACUACACGAGAGAGAGAGAAUAUGGAUAUCUAAGUAAGUCGGAAAGGGAUAAAUUCCUUGUAAUGUCUGCAAUUAUUUCAAAAUUUUUGUUGCUGUCACCAGCAACAAAAAUUUUAGAGAAAGAAGAGGGUGAUGUGGGGUCUCUACAGGCCACCCUCAUUAAUGACAAUUUAUAAUAAAAUUACUUGUACUGGAC